GCAGGUCCAUGACCCCCACUCAGUGGGACCUCCUGAUGGGUCACCAGCCCUUCUUGCUGGUGUUUUCCAGCUGGCAGUGGUUCUGAGUCUCUCUGAGACGGAUGCCCCAGCUGGGGGGAUGGACCGCCAUCUUUGCUGUCUAACAGCCUUAGCCAUUGUUGCCUUCAGGCUCUAGGGAGUCCGAGGAGACCAGGGAAUGAAGCGCUCCCCAGCACAGUGCAGCAGUUCUACAGAGAAGCAGCCAGACUGAUUUUUCGUGCAAGUCCUUUAUGCUGUUUCUCUUUACUGGGCAGAAUCUCCAAACCGAGGACGACAACCACCCCCAUAGAUGUGUUCAGGCAAGCAAAUAGCUAGAACAUCAAUAAGAUGCUGGAGUUUAAUCAACCACAGCAGACUGUGAGGUGGAAGCCACUUGGUGAUUGUGAGCCAGCACCAAGAUCGAAGGCAUUUGGAUCCCUGGUGAUCACAGACCCAGCAUGUCAUCUCUGCAAAGGUCUUUGAGCAGGAGCCCAAGGAAGGAAAAAUAAGGACACACAUUUUUGGCUGGAUUAGUAACAUCUUUCCUUUGUCUUCAUCCACCAGUGUUCUUGGUACACUGAAAUCUUCCCAGAAAGUGUGGAAUAUUG
rnacentral:lncRNA from 1 species